CUCACAUAAUAUAUUUGUUUAAAAUUUUUAGGUAUUUAUUUGAGUAUUUUUAGAGAUUAUGAUUUUUUUAAAACUGGAUAUACAAAGACGUCUUUUUGGACGAGAUUCGAAAUCAAGGUAUUUUCGUUGUGAAAACGAGAACUUAACCACAUAAUCGAAAAGCUGAGCCCACCCAUUCUUCGUAAACGGCGGCCCACACCAAUUAGGGUACUUUUACCUUUGCUUCGUUAAAACUUACAGAGUUCGAACAAAACAGUGGAAAAUUACCUUGAAGGGCGACAACUCCUUUGAAAAUUAUAUUUACCCUUGAGGGGCAAACUGGACAUUACCUUCUCAGACUACGAAUUCAGCCCAACUCCUCAGCUCACGGCACGCGCCGAAAUAUGAAAUUACCUUACAGGAUGCAUUUUAAAUAAUCGGACGGUUUGGAAGCUGGCAGGGCCACGGGUAACUUCGUCAUAUAUCCCUGGCUGAAAUAAAACCCUUAACCCUAGCGGAAAAAUCAGACCAUAUCUCCCAUCUUCGAUUUGUGGCCGCCACGCCACUACUUAUCUCGAAACUUCUUCUUCUCUGGAUCACAACUACACGUGCAAACCCUAGCUUUCUCCCUUCCUUCUCCGGUCAGCAAAAUCGACCAACGACGACCACCCACGGUGCUUCUUCCUCCUGGAUUGUUGUCUGGAGAUCAAUAACUCGCUAAGCUCCCUCCUUGCUCGAUUUCAUGGUAAUCUGCGCUGCCAACUAGAUUGAUUGCCUCCUUGCUCCGAUCACUCCAACCUCGAAGACGGCGGCAAGCUCAGCUUUCUCGAACACUGCGAUCUCCCCUGUAAGACGAAAUGUAGAAGUCCCGAUCUAUUCCUCUCCACUCAACUUUAAUUCGGAUUAGCAAUACCUCAAAAUCAUGACUCUAAUUACUGUUCCUCCUAGCUAUUAUUGGUAACAGAUCCGACCGAAGAUACACAGGGGUUCAAUGAAGGGUUCGGGAAAGGGUAAGGUGUGCGGUUUUGAGCGGGAUUUUUCGGGGAGUGGAGUAUGAUUUGAGGAAGAGAUAAUAAUAAUUUUGUAACUAAUUAUGGUGUCUCUGUUAUAAAACUAAACUCAAAGAAAGACAAGAACAAUAGAAAUAUGGAAAGAGAGAGAGUUUCUUAUUGAGGUGUAUAGAAUGCUACAAAUGAGAGAUCUAUUUAUAGGCUCAUAGAUCAUAACUUAUACUCUCUAAUAUUAUUAGACAUAAAAGUGGGAAAAUAAAUAUAAUGAAAUACAUUGAAGAAUGAAAUAAGGAGUUACACAAUGGUGCAUUCACUAUAGUAAUUAUAUUCAUAACACUCCCCCUUGAAUGACCAUUGGUUAUACAUCGCCCUUCGAAUACGCUUUUGAUACUGCCUCAUUAAAAACCUUACCAGGAAAACCCAGUGGGAAAAACCAUGGUUAAGGGAAAAAGAGUACAGCUGCGUAUUGACUCCCCCUGAUGAUGAUAUCAGUUGAGAUCCUUCAUAUUGACUCCCCC
rnacentral:lncRNA from 1 species